GUCCAUCGCUCCAGGGAGGACAGGCUGGGAAGGUGUGCCAUCCUACGUGCUGGCUCUCAGGAAGAAGGCUCUUCUCCAGGGAAGAUCUACUGGCUGGGUUGACUUCAUCUGGGAUAUUCCAUCAGCUUGGAAUGGGACAGCAGCUUUCUCUUCUUCCAGGCCCUCCAUGCUACCUCACUGCAAGGCUGUUUCCUAGUCACCUUCAAUCUGAGAUGACAUUUUCUGCUGGAGACUGAUGAUGCUUCAGAAUUCCAAGAUCCUAUUGGACAAUGGUGGCGGCUAAAGGUCAGAAGUUAGAAUUUUAAUUGUUGAGGACAGGGAGCUGGAGAGAGAGCUGACAGAACAGCAGAGCCAGUGGCAUCCAGUAUAUUCUACAAGGGAC
rnacentral:sRNA from 1 species